rnacentral:rRNA from 1 species
CUCCAUGGCCACACUGGCCUGCAAGCACUGCUUCUCUUCUGCUCUGGGAAGCUCACGGGAAUGGAGGUUGGACAGGCCUUGGGAGAACCCCUUGAGAUUACAGCCUUCUGUGGAGU